rnacentral:rRNA from 1 species
GACGAACGCUGGCGGCGUGCUUAACACAUGCAAGUCGAACGGUGAAGCCUUCGGGUGGAUCAGUGGCGAACGGGUGAGUAACACGUGAGCAAUCUGCCCUUGACUCUGGGAUAACUUCGGGAAACCGGAGCUAAUACCGGAUAUGACAUCUGGCCGCAUGGUCUGGGUGUGGAAAGAUUUAUCGGUCAGGGAUGAGCUCGCGGCCUAUCAGCUUGUUGGUGGGGAAUGGCCCACCAAGGCGACGACGGGUAGCCGGCCUGAGAGGGCGACCGGCCACACUGGGACUGAGACACGGCCCAGACUCCUACGGGAGGCAGCAGUGGGGAAUCUUGCGCAAUGGGCGAAAGCCUGACGCAGCGACGCCGCGUGAGCGAUGAAGGCCUC